GACAGAGGAUGCAAGCGUUAUCCGGAAUGAUUGGGCGUAAAGAGCUCGUAGGCGGUUUGUCGCGUCUGCCGUGAAAGUCCGGGCUCAACUCCGGAUCUGCGGUGGGUACGGGCAGACUAGAGUGAUGUAGGGGAGACUGGAAUUCCUGGUGUAGCGGUGAAAUGCGCAGAUAUCAGGAGGAACACCGAUGGCGAAGGCAGGUCUCUCGGGCAUUAACUGACGCUGAGGAGCGAAAGCAUGGGGAGCGAACAGG
rnacentral:rRNA from 1 species